UUUUAAGCCAAUAAAGAAUGUAGUUCUAACAAGUUUUAUAGCUAGUCGUGCAAUACACUUAGAGUAUGAAAUUAGGUUACUUUCGAGAUUGUUAUCGAUUCAACCGUUUCUAAGAAAUAGGGCAACGUAAUGUUGGAUCGAUAGCAUUGAGUUAGUUGACUUCACGUGUGUUUCCUUAUAUACGUUAUGUCUAAAUUAAUUGAUGAUUUAUUUGAUAAAAAGAAAGAUGAGGCUCUAUGUUGGAUUUAUCCAAAACAGUGAUAAAUACCGCGGAGGAGUACAGAGCAGUUCUAGAUAAAGUGCCAGACUUCAAAACUCGACCAGAAAAGGUAAACGCAACUUAAAUACAUAAAAUAAAGGACAAAAAAGAAGAUCAGAAAACUAGAACUCCUCGUAAAGAAGUUAAAGCUUAUGAAAAAUUAGGAACGCGGGGAUAUGAAGAGAAACAUUUCACGUACAUGGAUCCAAUCCCUGCGGAAAUGAGAGGUUUGAAAUUCGAAGAGUUGUGCGCUGUACCCAUAGAGUGGCGUAUGCUGACGUCCAUCAGACCAAAGUCUAAAUUAGACGAAGAAUAUUUUAACAGGUUAGUUGAACUGAGAAAAUCUGAAUUGAAAACCAAAGCGCGUGACAAAAGGGAAUAUGCUAAAAAUAAUAUGAUAAGGAAAACAAAAAAUCGCUCAGGAGUUACUGAAACUAGAAUUGUGUCGUGUGCUGAAUGCGGAGAAGAAUAUUGCAAUGGCAAAAUGUGCGUCAUAACAAAUUACGAUAUGUUCGCUCGACUAAAAGUGGAAGUGGAGACAAAGACAUCACGCACACAAGCCACAUUGCCCCAGGGAGCGAGCAAGCUGCGCCGCAUGCGCCGGCGCGUGCGUCGCAAGCCGCGCAGCAAGAGUGCCGCACCCGCCGCCCUCGCCGCACGGAAACCACACGGCAACAAAUCGGGAGCUAGAAGUGAUUCAGAAUUGUAAUAUAUUUUGAGGAAUAAGGACAGAUACAAAACUUAAAAUCAUUUAGUUUUGCAAAUUGAAGGCCUGAUAAAUUUUCCUAUUGAUUAAAUUAAAAUUGAGCUACAAACAAGCAAAAUAGGAAACAUCAUAGACUACAGUCACACACACACACAACAUCACGCAUUUUAUCCCCGAAGGGGUAUGCAGAGGCGCAACCAUGGCA